UACGUAGGGGGCAAGCGUUGUCCGGAUUUAUUGGGCGUAAAGAGCGUGUAGGCGGUUAGGUAGGUCCGUUGUGAAAACUCGAGGCUCAACCUCGAGACGCCGAUGGAAACCAUCUGACUAGAGUCCGGAAGAGGAGAGUGGAAUUCCUGGUGUAGCGGUGGAAUGCGCAGAUAUCAGGAGGAACACCUAUAGCGAAGGCAGCUUGCUGGGACGUAACUGACGCUAAGGCGCGAAAGCGUGGGGAGCGAACAGG
rnacentral:rRNA from 1 species